CAGCCGCCGCGGUAAUACGUAGGGUGCAAGCGUUAAUCGGAAUUACUGGGCGUAAAGCGUGCGCAGGCGGUUAUAUAAGACAGAUGUGAAAUCCCCGGGCUCAACCUGGGACCUACAUUUGUGACUGUAUAGCUAGAGUACGGUAGAGGGGGAUGGAAUUCCGCGUGUAGCAGUGAAAUGCGUAGAUAUGCGGAGGAACACCGAUGGCGAAGGCAAUCCCCUGGACCUGUACUGACGCUCAUGCACGAAAGCGUGGGGAGCAAACGGGAUUAGAUACCCGUGUAGUCCCUGUCUCUUAUAC
rnacentral:rRNA from 1 species